rnacentral:rRNA from 1 species
CUACGGGGGGCAGCAGUAAGGAAUAUUGCGCAAUGGAGGCAACUCUGACGCAGCCAUGCCGCGUGCAGGAAGAAGGCCUUAUGGGUCGUAAACUGCUUUUAUUUAGGAAUAAACCCCCGAACGUGUUCGGGGCUGAAGGUACUAAACGAAUAAGCACCGGCUAACUCCGUGCCAGCGAGCCGCGGUAAUACGGAGGGUGCAAGCGUUAUCCGGAUUUAUUGGGUUUAAAGGGUGAGCAGGCGGGCUAUUAAGUCAGUGGUGAAAUCCCGGGGCUCAACUCCGGAACUGCCAUUGAUACUGAUAGUCUUGAGUUUGGUUGAAGUGGGCGGAAUGUAGCAUGUAGCGGUGAAAUGCAUAGAUAUGCUACAGAACACCAAUCGCGAAGGCAGCUCACUAAGCCAAAACUGACGCUCAUGCACGAAAGCGUGGGGAUCAAACAGGAUUAGAUACCCCGGUAGUC